UACGAGAGCGCAAGCGUUGUCCGGAAUUAUUGGGCGUAAAGAGCUGCGUAGGCGGUUUGUCGCGUCUGCUGUGAAAACCUAAGGCUCAACCUUGGGCUUGCAGUGGGGUACGGGCAGACUAGAGUGCGGUAGGGGUGACUGGAAUUCUGGUGAUAGCGGUGGAAUGCGCAGCUAUCAGGAGGACACCGAUGGCGAAGGCAUGGUCACUGGGCCGCAACUGAC
rnacentral:rRNA from 1 species